CUCCCGUGCCACCUUCAAGUCCAUUAGUUGUAGUUUCCUCCGCAAUCCCCUGUUUUCUUUCUGGCUUUGGGAAAUUUCCAAACGAAACACUGCAUAGUCGUCGUCUACGAGUUUACAGAUCUCUGCCACGGCUGCAUUCGCUAGCACCUCCAUGAUGGAGGCUAUUUGAGUGUGGAAAACCAUACAGUUAGCCAUUGUUAGCAACUAACUAGCGUUACGUAGCUCUAUCAACCAAGUCCUGUCUCCAACGUGAAUUAAAGACCACCUGUGCCCGAGACUACAUAUGAAUCAGCCAAAAGGCAGGGAUCCACUUUCUCCAAAAAUGUCACUCCCACUGCACCCAAAUCAUCCUUUGCUUGGACUUGGAGGUCUUCACCACACCUGCCACCAGAGGAACAGGAGGGUCUAUCUCUAUCAGCCCCAGGCCCCGCUCCAUCCCUGCACUGAGACUGUGAAGAGAAGGGUCUGUGCUGCAGACUGGAUCCCUGACUGGAGCCUCUGUCCCUCUGAUGAUGACCAAGACUGAAGAUGUUCAGUCUACGUGUCCACUGGUUGUGUUCUGUGUGGUGGUGGUGG